rnacentral:lncRNA from 1 species
AUUUUACUUCACAGAGAAAAUUCACAUAAAGUGAUUUUAAAAAAAUCAUCCAUUGUGUUUUUGAGAUCAAAAAAUGCUAUAUAUUUUGUAUAGAAUAUGCUAAAAUCCAUUUAAUUUUAUAAAUGAAGUAAAAUUAUUUUGACAGUUAAUGGUAAUUAUGAUAACAUACUUAAAGAGAAUGUUUGACAAUUUAAUAAUCCUAUAUAUUCAACUAUGGGAUCAGAGUUUAACAUGCACAUAAGUCAUAUCUGGUUAUUAAACUAUAUUUCAAUUGGUCUGGUUAUUAAACUAGGUCAAUCAGUUGGAUUCACCACAUGGAAAUGUUUAGAUUUUUCAACCAAAACCAGGAUCAAUUCCAUCUUGGAAAAAUUAUUUGAAGGUCCAAGCCUGGCUGGUAUCCCUUUUUUCUAUAGUCCAGUCAGCCUCAUCAGGUGUAAUUGAUAUAUGAUAUGUGAUAGGCACAGUUAUUAGUGAAUGAUUAAGGACUGACAUUAAAAAACAGUAAUUAUAAACAUAUCUGUGAAUUCUAAGGUGUUUUUAUUAAAAAAUAAUUUUAUUUCCCAUAAAUUCUAUAAUAUAAUUUGUA